AUGAAUGGGCCAGGGAUGAUUCUCUCCCUUGAGCUCAGUUGGCCAGAAGGCGAAGUAGGAGACAUGGAGAUCUUGCUACCAAUGCUGCUCUUGAUAGCCUUGCUAUGUCUCGUGCCAGGACUGGACGGGGCCCCGAUUCCCAAUCUGCACCGGGAUUUUCAAAAUGUUCAACAUUUACAGAUUUCCAUCGAACCAAUGGCGACGGUACAUAUUUCGGCAGGGCAACAAGGCGGCCAGAAGAGAUCAGAACGACCAGAGGGAUCAGGAUCACAGAGAUUGGAGACGACCGGAACCGAAGUACAUCACACCCCAACGACAACAGCUUUUUGGAGACUGCGGAAUGACAAAAUUGCCACCAUCGUGCUGCACAAGGACACAACCACCACCCAAGAGACCACCACUCAAGAGGUUCCCCAGAAUGGGAUAACUCUUUCUGUCACAGAAGAACCCGUGAUCAGCAUUCUGCCACAGAAGGUGGAGGUCAGCUUUGAGACAUCACCCUCGAGGCCUCAGAGUGAUAUACAUGGCACCAUCAUUCUGCGUCCGGACACGCCUGCUGUGGCCGAGGUCGUCUCUCCAAAAGUCACCCAUCACGUAAUGAGCGCAUCGGUUGCCAUCUAUUCUUCCCAUUCAGAAAAGCCACCGAAAAAUAACAACAUAGCCAUAGUGAAAACCAAUCAUUUCACCUGGAAUCAUAAAUCUUCCAGAGGAGACAUCAUGGGCUUGAUUGAUGUCUUGACCAAAAUGUUAAGGAAUACUCCGGUGGUUGUUAAAAUUGACCCAGACUUCAACACAAAGCUCGAGAAUGUCAAAGAUUACCUGAGAGAGAUGCUGGCGCUGGUGAAAAAUGCGGAGAAUAAGCUGGUCAAGGGUUUCAAACAGAAGCAGGAGGAGGUGGCCAAUGACACCAUCGUGCCUUCGCCCCCGGCCACCACGGUGUCGUUGACGAUCCACGUGGAGACACCCACCACCCCUGACUCGACAGACCUCAAGUUGGCCCAACUGCAAAUGGAAUUGGCGAAGCUCAAAUCAUUUUUGAGAGUGCUGGAUCAUUUCACUGCCCGACUAAGUUCCUUUGUGCGAAAUUCUCCAAAUAGAAAAGCAUCCAAAGAGAUUGUGGACAAAGCGAUAGCCAUCCUGAAGACCAUCAAGGCUGUGUUCUGUGAAAAUCCAAACCGUCAGACCCAACAGGUGCUGAAGGAUCUGAUAGAUAAAGAGAUGCAGCUUCUAAAACAAGCCAAGAGGGAAGCCAGGGUUUUGUAAGCAUUUCCCAUCAAGAGACAUGUACAACAGGCAAAAAUCUUUCGUUUUUUAGUAUUCUUGCCUUGGCUCUCUGGCUGACAGCUUUUUCUAAAAAUCCCCCUAACUUUAAUCCAGUUCCCACUCCCUGACCUGAUCCCAACUAUCUCUACAUUCUUUCCUAUACCUACUCCCCUCUCACUUACUCUGCUCUUUUAAAUAUGAUAUAUCAAUAAAAAUCAUUAAAAAAAAGAGUCACGUGCAACUAGAAUAUAUUUUUGUAUUAAUGAUAGAAAAUGUUCCAAUAAUUUUUUUCCAUUUUAUUUUAUUUUAUUUUAUUUGCAAUACGAUAUAAUACUAAUAAUACAAUAUAAUAUUCAUUAUCUAUUAUAUUUUACAUGUAAUAUUACUAAUAAUAUUACAAUAUAUUGAUACAGUACAAUAUAGUAAUUUUAUUACCAGUAUUGUACUAUGCUAAGAUAAUAUUGUAUGUAAAUUUAAUUUGUAAGCCGCUCUGAGUCCCCUUCGGGGUGAGAAGGGCGGCAUAUAAAUGUAGCUAAUAAAUAAAUAAAUAAAUUUAUUGAGAACUAGCUUGGGGACCCGGCGGUGCCUCUGAAGAGCUCUGAGGAGCUCCUACAAACUAGAGAAGACGAAACAAAAGGUGUUUCUGGAUGCCUCUCAUAGUGAAAGCUCUCCAAGGAAGGAGUCCGGACGGAGAAGAUGGGGCUUC
ensembl:lncRNA